ACACAAACCAGCUAUUUCAAGAGUUGUAGGCCUGUAGCACAUGGCAAAGAGAUAAUCGAAAGGAGUUAAAACAGUAAGGAAGCUCAAACACGCUAACAUGUGUUGGAGACACAACAGAAAGAUCAGUAGUCUUAAAGUAUAAUUUGUUGUGUGAUAUAGUUAUAAAGUUCAUGUUGUGGACUUAUGGCUGCAUUCAAAAGGUAACAGCUACCAAGUAAAAGCAAGGCAACAGGAAAGAGUAGAACACAUACUCUUUGUCUGGGGGAUACCGCUAACAACCCAGGUGUUUGCAGCAAUUGAUGCUUGAACUGAACAGAAUUCACAAACAAAACGAUGUUAGAUCGAAAAUAAAAUGACAGAUGACUAAACUAUGUGAAAUAUAGAUUAUUUUUAUACCUUUGGGGUUAAUGAAUUGGAUAACAACAUCCUCCUUGAAAAUGUUGACUUCUUCAAUAGCAGGAAUGGCAUUGACACCUAUUCUUUUCAAGGUGCUCUGUAGUCUUUUGUCAUCGGUUGUAGUUGUCUUGUGUACAACCUUCUUCUUUCUGCAGAAGCAGAAAUCAUUCAGUAAACAUGAAUGAGAAAAAUAAGAUACCUUAUCAAUACUUCUCUCAUGUCCCUCUCCAUUACUCAAUCAAGUUUUGACCCUAAGUCAAAAACUUGUUAAUCAUUACAAAACUAAGUUUGGCUUAUAUUCCAAAUAUUUUUCAUCUUAUUUGGAAUUUAUGAAAUUGGGAGUUCAAGAUUGAAUUUUGCUUGUUUGUACAUUUUGCAAAGGAGAGAGAGAAUAGAGAAAUUUAUUUGCAAUUUAAGAUGAUGGAGUUGGAAAACAGGUUUGGAGCUAUUUCUCAAAUUUGGAAAAUAACUCCAAGUUGGAUUUGGAAAUUUUAUGACCAAACAGUGACUUUGAAAUGAAGUGGACAAUUCUGCGGGGAUUAAAAUGAAAAACAACCAUGAUCGAACAGGCUCUUAAGUAACUGGAAUCUUUUGAGCAAGCGACAAGAGCAUACAUUCUUUCUCAAUACAAAACAUUGUCUAUUUCCAUGUGGUAAGAGUCACAGAAACUACAGAAAACUAAACAGACCUUCUCAUGGUACCCUUUCCACCAGUUCUGACCGAACCAGCCAUCUUUUGCAACUUUUCUACAUUCAUCUGUCCCAGAAAAGCACCAAAAGUUAGUAUUUCUCAAAAAACAAGUAUCAAGAAACUAAAUGCUUAGUGCAUUCCAUUCAAUCACCACGAAAGCUACACUAAGACCAACAACCACACACCUAGCGUAAUCCCACAAGUGGGGUCUGAGGGGGUAGAGCGUACACAAACCUUUACCCCUACCUCAUGGAGGUAGAGAGUCAUAAACUACACUAAACCACAUCCAGAAAAUUCACAUACUAAAAAAUAAAGGCUUCUAUAUAGAAGUUCAAAACACAAGAACACAUGAAUGUUGGAGCUAAUAGCACGUACCAACUUAACAAAGGUAAGACCAGGAACAUUACAUCAUUAUUUUGGUGUAGACCAGUUUUCUGAGCUAUUAAAAAUUGAUCAUUGAUAUAAGAAUCCAGAGGAUGCCAAAAAACAGACAGCAAAAUAAGCCUCACUGCAAACUAAAAUAAGCCAAAACAGAACCAUCUAAAUGCUUAGGGAGCUUACAAAAUCAACAAGUGAAAAGGGGCCAUUCAAAAAUUGGUCACUUAUCCCUUUUAUAUAGUUCCAAAGUACUUAAAUUUCAUUUAAAAAUAUUCAAUUGUCAUCCUUAGAAAAUCAAAUUCCACUAUUCAGGUUAGGAGGGAGAGAAUAGUGUUAUCUAACAACAACAUAAUGAGUAUAACUACACAAAGUAAGGUUUGGGGAGAGUAGAAUGUACGCAAGAAACAGAUGUACGACGUGAUAAGAAAACAGAAACAACCCCAUUCUUAAAAGUCUUGAGAUGCCCAACGCCAAUCUAAAUCAAUCACCAAAUACCAUAGCAUACACCGGGUGGAGACCAAAAAAGAGUGUAUGGAGCAACACUGGUUGAGAACACUCUGCAAAGGAAUUUCAGAACUGUUACUGCUUGGCCUCUUAGUAAGCUCCGAUAGCAUUACCUUAUACUAAAUAAAUACACAAUGGCACCUCAUGGUACAAGAGACACCAAAUUGACUGCACCUCAUGGUACAAGAGACACCAAAUUGACUGCACAACCUCAAUUACACAACGAAAAACCACCCUGAAUUUCUACUGUUCCUGCUAAAAAUUAUUAGCUUGUGUAAUAUAGCAAGUAGCGUGACAUAUAAGAGAACGAAUGCUAAAAUAGAAUAUUAGGUUUUGAAGGGCAAAGAGUAGCUUACUAUUAAAAGCAUUUAAGUAUUCUUUUGAGAUGUGUCACAAUAGACAUGAAAUAGAACACUUAAAAGCAGAACAUUGAAAGUAAAGCAAUUCAACAAAACUUCAGGAAGCAUGACCCUCCUCAGCAGCAGCUUCAAAAGUUUCACCAGCCACAAGUUCUGGUACAUCAUCAUCAUCUGCCUGUGCUGCAGCAGCACCUACAGCCGCAUCUGUACCGGCAGCAGCACCAGGUGCUUGCUUCUGGAACUGCUCAGCCAACUUCUUCAAGUUCUCCAAAUUAUCAGGACCUGAAAAUUGUAUCUUCAACAGUCAAAACAUACGUUCAAUAGUUCAAGAUUUCUCAUGACUCAAAUGUAGGCCCAAAAAAUGAUACAUACCCAGCUGGUGAAUAAUCUGAGGAAGGAUAUCCUGCAAUUCUACAAAAGAAAAGAAAUAUAAACUUAGAAUUAUCAUGCAUCAUACACAAACCAGCUAUUUCAAGAGUUGUAGGCCUGUAGCACAUGGCAAAGAGAUAAUCGAAAGGAGUUAAAACAGUAAGGAAGCUCAAACACGCUAACAUGUGUUGGAGACACAACAGAAAGAUCAGUAGUCUUAAAGUAUAAUUUGUUGUGUGAUAUAGUUAUAAAGUUCAUGUUGUGGACUUAUGGCUGCAUUCAAAAGGUAACAGCUACCAAGUAAAAGCAAGGCAACAGGAAAGAGUAGAACACAUAC
rnacentral:lncRNA from 1 species